rnacentral:rRNA from 1 species
GACGAACCGUGCGAACGUUAUUCGGAAUCACUGGGCUUAAAGCGCGUGUAGGCGGGUCGGCGCGUCGGACGCUGAAAUCCCCCGGCUCAACCGGGGAAGGGGCGCCGAUACGGCCGGCCUGGAGGGACGUAGGGGGGGCUGGAACUUCCGGUGGAGCGGUGAAAUGCGUUGAGAUCGGAAGGAACGCCCGUGGCGAAAGCGAGCCCCUGGACGUCUACUGACGCUGAGACG